AUGGAAACUCGCUAUCUCCGUCGGGCCGGGAGACUUAUCCUAAUCAACUCAACGCUCACCACAGCUUCCAUCUUCUUAAUGCUAGUGCUUGAUCUGCCAGCGUGGUUUAUCUCUUGCAUUGAUAAGAUCAGACGUGGUUUUUUCUGGUGUGGGCAUGAUGAGGCCAAAGGCGGGAACUGCUUAAUCAACUGGAACCCUGUUUGCUCGCCUAAUGUUUAUGGUGGACUCGGGAUCCACAACCUCAGGUUACUGAAUCAGGCCCUGCUCCUCAAGUGGCGCUGGUUCGAGAAGGUCGCCGACGAGAAGCCUUGGCAAGGCCUUGACAUUAAACUGCCUGCUGAGGUUGACAUCGUCUUCAGUGCUGGAUUACAUUGCUAG
rnacentral:rRNA from 1 species